AACGAACGCUGGCGGCAUGCCUAACACAUGCAAGUCGAACGAGAUCUUCGGGUCUAGUGGCGCACGGGUGCGUAACGCGUGGGAAUCUGCCCUCAGGUUCGGAAUAACCAUUGGAAACGAUGGCUAAUACCGGAUGAUGACGUUAAGUCCAAAGAUUUAUCGCCUGAGGAUGAGCCCGCGUAGGAUUAGCUAGUUGGUGUGGUAAAGGCGCACCAAGGCGACGAUCCUUAGCUGGUCUGAGAGGAUGAUCAGCCACACUGGGACUGAGACACGGCCCAGACUCCUACGGGAGGCAGCAGUGGGGAAUAUUGGACAAUGGGCGAAAGCCUGAUCCAGCAAUGCCGCGUGAGUGAUGAAGGCCUUAGGGUUGUAAAGCUCUUUUACCCGGGAUGAUAAUGACAGUACCGGGAGAAUAAGCUCCAGCUAACUCCGUG
rnacentral:rRNA from 1 species